GACGAACGCUGGCGGCGUGCUUAACACAUGCAAGUCGAACGGAAAGGCCCUGCUUUUGUGGGGUGCUCGAGUGGCGAACGGGUGAGUAACACGUGAGUAACCUGCCCUUGACUUUGGGAUAACUUCAGGAAACUGGGGCUAAUACCGGAUAGGAGCUCCUGCUGCAUGGUGGGGGUUGGAAAGUUUCGGCGGUUGGGGAUGGACUCGCGGCUUAUCCGCUUGUUGGUGGGGUAGUGGCUUACCAAGGCUUUGAGGGGUAGCCGGCCUGCGAGGGUGACCGGCCACAUUGGGACUGAGAUACGGCACAGACUCGUACGGGAGGCAGCGGUGGGGAAUAGUGCACAAUGGGCGGGAGCCUGAUGCAGCAACGCCGCGUGCGGGAUGACGGGCUUCGGGUUGUAAACCACUUUCGCCUGUGACGAGGCGUGAGUGACGGUAAUGGGUAAAGAAGCACCGGCUAACUACGUG
rnacentral:rRNA from 1 species